rnacentral:rRNA from 1 species
UACGGGAGGUGCAAGCGUUGUUCGGAGUGACUGGGCGUAAAGCGCACGUAGGCGGGGUUGUAAGUCGGAUGUGAAAUCCCUAGGCUUAACCUGGGAACUGCAUCCGAAACUAUAAAUCUUGAAUACCUCAGAGGUUGGUAGAAUUCCUGGUGUAGGAGUGAAAUCCGUAGAUAUCAGGAGGAAUACCGGAGGCGAAGGCGGCCGACUGGGAGAGUAUUGACGCUGAGGUGCGAAAGCGUGGGGAGCGAACAGG